GGCCUUCCAGAACCAGUGAAAGAACUGGGGGAUGUCUGCUUCAUCUGCGGAGCCGAGGCACCAGGUCUCUGAGGUAAGAAGAGGUUGGAUUGUGGUGAACACCCAGGGGAGUGUACAGAUGGACUCGUAGUGACGACAGCCUGCCAGGGACCCCACGUGCAGUGCCAUUGGAGAUUGACCAGAGUAAAGAUGGAAAGACAGAAGGU